rnacentral:lncRNA from 1 species
CAUCAUCAUUAUGAUCAACCUCAUUUGAUAAAUCAUCUUGUACCAAUAAAUUUAAUCUAGUUGGUACAUGACGUUCUCGUGUAGACCUUCGAAGAGGUGCUUGUACAACCUGUUCACCUUGUGUUGGAUUUCGUUGUUGCUCAAUUUGGUUUGGAACCGGUUCAUUAACCUGUUCUUGAACUUCAUUUAGUUCUUGAACUU